GCGCAUCUAAAAGAGGAGGAGAUGAACAAUAUAACUGCAAGUGAAAUAGCAGGACUUGGGGUUGGUACUUUACUCCUAUGUUGCGCCAUUGCCGCCCCAAAAAUUGACUCUUUCAUCUCUGCUUCACAGAGAAGGAAAAUUUCGCCGUUGAAGGAAUUACAAAUCUUUAUGAGGAGAAUUGACUCUCAUCAUCUGGAGAUAUUGGAAUCUGUUCUUUUUCUUUUAUUCUAUUUUUAUUUUGCUAUUCUCUGCUAAGGUGUUAUCUGGGGUCAUUCUGGCAUUGCACUCUCUGGGGAUGUGCAAGAAAUGCGGUGAUCUGAGAAUGAUAGCAUGCUCAAAUUGUAAAGGAAUGGGAUUGAUCAAAGAAAGAGGACCAUUAAGUUUCAACUUGAUUGAUGACUUGUAUCAGUCAAUUGGUGGAGAAUCAAAGGUGAAAACCUUCAAAUGUAGUAAAUGCCAAGCUACAGGUCGUUUCUGCUGCCCGGAUUGCUCUAAAGUACCAUCAGUGAAAUUGUAAUUAUAUGCACAUCUCUUAACCAGAUGUUGUGUUGUCCUUAUUCCAGAACUUAACUGGUUGUAUUCAAACCAUAGAUAUCGUUUUCUGAAUGAUAAUUUUUCUUUAUCUGGUGGAAAA